rnacentral:rRNA from 1 species
UGGAGAGUUUGAUCCUGGCUCAGGAUGAACGCUAGCGGCAGGCCUAACACAUGCAAGUCGAGGGGCAUCGGGAUUGAAGCUUGCUUCAAUUGCCGGCGACCGGCGCACGGGUGCGUAACGCGUAUGUAACCUACCUAUAACAGGGGCAUAACACUGAGAAAUUGGUACUAAUUCCCCAUAAUAUUCGGAGAGGCAUCUCUCCGGGUUGAAAACUCCGGUGGUUAUAGAUGGACAUGCGUUGUAUUAGCUAGUUGGUGAGGUAACGGCUCACCAAGGCAACGAUACAUAGGGGGACUGAGAGGUUAACCCCCCACACUGGUACUGAGACACGGACCAGACUCCUACGGGAGGCAGCAGUGAGGAAUAUUGGUCAAUGGACGCAAGUCUGAACCAGCCAUGCCGCGUGCAGGAAGACGGCUCUAUGAGUUGUAAACUGCUUUUGUACGAGGGUAAACUCACCUACGUGUAGGUGACUGAAAGUAUCGUACGAAUAAGGAUCGGCUAACUCCGUGCCAGCAGCCGCGGUAAUACGGAGGAUUCAAGCGUUAUCCGGAUUUAUUGGGUUUAAAGGGUGCGUAGGCGGUUUGAUAAGUUAGAGGUGAAAUCCCGGGGCUUAACUCCGGAACUGCCUCUAAUACUGUUAGACUAGAGAGUAGUUGCGGUAGGCGGAAUGUAUGGUGUAGCGGUGAAAUGCUUAGAGAUCAUACAGAACACCGAUUGCGAAGGCAGCUUACCAAACUAUAUCUGACGUUGAGGCACGAAAGCGUGGGGAGCAAACAGGAUUAGAUACCCUGGUAGUCCACGCCGUAAACGAUGUCGACUUGGAGGUUGUGCCCUUGAGGCGUGGCUUCCGGAGCUAACGCGUUAAGUCGACCGCCUGGGGAGUACGGCCGCAAGGUUAAAACUCAAAUGAAUUGACGGGGGCCCGCACAAGCGGUGGAGCAUGUGGUUUAAUUCGAUGCAACGCGAAGAACCUUACCUGGUCUUGACAUCCACAGAACUUUCCAGAGAUGGAUUGGUGCCUUCGGGAACUGUGAGACAGGUGCUGCAUGGCUGUCGUCAGCUCGUGUUGUGAAAUGUUGGGUUAAGUCCCGCAACGAGCGCAACCCUUAUCCUUUGUUGCCAGCGGUCCGGCCGGGAACUCAAAGGAGACUGCCAGUGAUAAACUGGAGGAAGGUGGGGAUGACGUCAAGUCAUCAUGGCCCUUACGACCAGGGCUACACACGUGCUACAAUGGCGCAUACAAAGAGAAGCGACCUCGCGAGAGCAAGCGGACCUCAUAAAGUGCGUCGUAGUCCGGAUUGGAGUCUGCAACUCGACUCCAUGAAGUCGGAAUCGCUAGUAAUCGUGGAUCAGAAUGCCACGGUGAAUACGUUCCCGGGCCUUGUACACACCGCCCGUCACACCAUGGG